rnacentral:misc_RNA from 1 species
CUAGGCAAGAAAAACACAACUGAACCGAACUGAACUAGGGCUGGUGGUUGAUCAGGACUUCCUUUAUUUAUUCGUUUGCAAUUAUGACAAGAAUUUAUAUAUUUGGACUUUAUACUUUUAUUUUGUUCAUUUUCUUUUUAUCAGGAAGUCAAGGAAGCCUCCACCAUGCCCUUCAUUAUUACGACACUCUUCACAUAGACAAUGUCAAACAUCACAUUGUUAAAAGAGAUCUAGAUGAGGAUGAUCAACAUGUACGAUACAUCAGUUUUACAACUUUGGGAAGGAAAUUUGAUCUAGAACUGAGACCGUCUGAGACAGUUUUAUCGUCAACUUUCAAAGCAUAUGCAGUUGAUGAACAUGGUAAAAAAGAGGAAUAUGAAUUUGAUAGAGAUAAUGUCCUCUCUGGUCAUCUAACAGAUGAUUUUGAUUCACAUGUUCAAUGCCAUAUUGAAGAUGAUAACACGCUAAAUGCAAAGAUUGUGACACAAGAAGAAACAUAUAUUAUAGAGCCUUCAUGGAGGCAUCUAACAGAUACAGUCAAUGGUACAAUGAUUUCAUACAGAAAAUCUGACAGAAAAUCAAAUGAUACGCAUACGUAUUGCGGACAUGGUAGCCAUCUCCCCAAAGGCUUGAAAUAUGAUCGAGAUUUGGAAGAAGAGGAGCACCACCAUUACACCAAGCAGUACCAAGAAUCGGAUGGACAUGGAAGACAGAGAAGGUCUCUUCGUCCACCUCCAAAACACGUCUGUCCCUUGCUUCUAACAGCUGAUAGCCUCUUUUAUGUGAAUAUGGGUCAAAGUAGUAUGUCACAAACUAUCAAUUAUCUUAUUUCGCUUGUGGACCGAGUCAAUUUGAUCUACAAAAGAACAAACUGGGAUGGUAAAAGCUACGGUGGAUUUUACUUUGAAGUUGCAGAGGUUACUGUUCAUAAAACACAGAUAAUGGGGAACCAUUACAAUACAAAACCACCUAUUGGUGAUGUUUGGGAAGUGCAAGAUCUCUUAGAGAUGUAUAGCAAACAAAAUCACAUGAAAUUCUGCUUAGCUCACCUGUUCACUUACCAAGAUUUCUCAAGUGGGGUGUUAGGUUUAGCAUAUAUUGGAACUCAAAGAACCAAUGCUGUUGGUGGUAUAUGUACACAAUCUUAUCCAUCUAAUGGUGGUGACUUAUACCUUAACACUGGAUUGACAACGACCCUCAAUUGGGGGCGCCGGGUACUCACGGAUGAAGCUGAACUUGUCACAGCACAUGAAUUAGGACAUAAUUUUGGAAGUGAGCAUGAUCCAACAACCAACAUCAAUGGUUGUGCCCCAGAUGAUCCUAAUGGCAACUUCUUAAUGUAUCCAGCCUCAGUAAGUGGCAAGAAACCAAACCAUGAUCGAUUUUCUCCUUGUAGCAAACGUAUGAUCCAGCAAGUUUUAAAAGCUAAGUCUUCUCGCUGCUUUAGAGAACCACAAGGUACAAAUGUCUGUGGCAACUAUCGAAUUGAUAAAAAUGAACAGUGCGAUGCCGGGUUACUUGCCCAAGGAGAAAGUGACCCGUGUUGUCAUUUAAAAUGUAAACUGAAACCAGGAAAGAAAUGCAGCGAUAAAAACUCUCCUUGCUGCGAAGGCUGUAGAUUUGCACCACCAACGAAAGCUUGUCGAGAAACUGAGUACUCUGACACUGGUUGCAAGAAAGCAGCGUUCUGUACUGGACAACAUGCGAAUUGUCCAAGAGCUGAAUUUAAACAGGAUGGUUCCCCUUGCAUAGAAAAUGGACGAUGUAUGAAUGGAGUAUGUAUGCCUUUCUGUGAAGUUAAUGGUCUGGUGUCCUGUAUAUGUUCUGAUUCUACAGAGUCUUGUUAUUGGUGCUGUAAAAGGACUGAAGCUGAUGAUUGUACUAUAUAUAUCAACUCUACAUUAAAACAGCCACAGCGUGUUCCUGAUGGUAGGCCUUGUAACCAUGGAGUUUGUAAAAAGGGAAAAUGUGAAACUCAAGCUCAAGAUUUUAUAGAAAGAUUCUUCGAUAUUUUUGAAGGAAUCACAAUUAGUAAACUAGGUCGAAUAAUAAAGGACAACAUCGUAGGAGCAACAAUUAUUAUCUCUCUGAUCAUUUGGAUUCCAUGUAGCUGCCUUGUUCACUAUGUAGAUAAAAAACGUGAAAAAGAAAUUAGUGAAGAUAAUGACUGGUUCAAUCCAACUAAUAAAGAACUGAUGAGGCCAGGUGACAAGGGUAAAGUUCGAAGGUAUCGACCCCCACCCUAUCUAGAGAAGGAGACUGUUCUCUAGCUAACUGCAUGCGUUAAUGUGGCCAACGUGGGAAAGUCCCGCUGGAUGGUAAAUACAAUAAUUGGCAAUCAAGGUCACAAGUGAUUGCUCAAGAAGCUGAACAAGACUCGAAUCUGUAAGUUGGAUGGCGUCUUCAACAAUCGCAACCUAUCCUGCAUGUAUUACAAUAUUGCAGUUCCAAUAUGUAAUCGUCUGGCGAAUGAAAUUAUAAAGAACAUCAUUUUCACCUUAAUUAUUUCAUUCUUCAUUCAUCUUACAUAUCAUACCAGUGGUGUAACGUUGAGUCGGGGCCUGGGGGGAAGAAAACGUGUUGGGACCCAUGAAUUUCUGUAAAGUGUUCGCUAACAUAAACAUGAAUAUUGAGCCUGAAAAGAAUAUCUUUAAAGAAUACAAUUAUAUUGUAUGACUAUAAACCAUAGAAUCAACUACCGUACUUUCAAUUUCCAUUUAGACUGGGGACCCUGGGGCUUCGCAUCCCAACCACACACCCCCCCCCCAGCCCAUAGUCGUUACGCCACGGCAUCAUUCGUUGUUCAUUGCAUGACCACCAUUCAGGGGCGAAUCAAGAAUUCUAAAACAUGUGGAUCAGAUGAAUGUCCACAUGUUCAGAAUUUGCGACUAUAUCUACAGUUCUUUCCAGAGUGUCACUCAAAAUGUCCAAUUGAUCAAUCAAAACGUGGUAUUCAAUAAUCAGGAAUACGCGCAUGUCCCACAUUAAACGCACGUUUACGCUGUCGAUUUGUGAUACCUUAGCAACAGGGGCGGGCUAAGUGGAACGCUCCAUUUUGGGGCUUUCUAGAAACAACUUCUUGAUCCGCUACUGGUUAUUAUUAUUGACGUCGGUAUUCUUCAUCCUACUAGGAGAAAUGAAUGAUAAACAGUAGGAUUAAUAUACGGCGGCUUGUAAUUAAAAACAUUUUAUAUAAUUCUAAUGGAAUGAAAUGCUGCUAUAUUAAUUAGAUUGCAUGUCUCAUAUUUAAAACUUUAUUAGUAAAUUAUUAUUUUUACAGUUUUAAGAUAUAAAAAUUGUCACCGUA